rnacentral:rRNA from 1 species
UACGGGGGGGAGCAAGCGUUGUUCGGAUUUACUGGGCGUAAAGGGCGCGUAGGCGGCCCGGCAAGCGUGGGGUGAAAGUCCGGGGCUCAACCCCGGAUCGGCCUCGCGAACUGCCGGGCUGGAGCACUGUAGGGGCGGGUGGAAUUCCGGGUGUAGCGGUGGAAUGCGUAGAGAUCCGGAAGAACACCGGUGGCGAAGGCGGCCCGCUGGGCCGUUCCUGACGCUGAGACGCGAAAGCUAGGGGAGCGAACAGG